GAUGAACGCUAGCGGCAGGCUUAACACAUGCAAGUCGAGGGGUAACAGGGGAGCUUGCUCCCGCUGACGACCGGCGGACGGGUGCGUAACGCGUAUGCAACCUACCCAUAACAUAGGGAUAGCCCGAAGAAAUUUGGAUUAAUACCUGAUAGUAUUAUAAAUUCGCAUGAAUUAAUAAUUAAAGAUUUAUCGGUUAUGGAUGGGCAUGCGUGCCAUUAGCUAGUUGGUAAGGUAACGGCUUACCAAGGCAACGAUGGCUACGGGGUCUGAAAGGAUGGUCCCGCACACUGGUACUGAGACACGGACCAG
rnacentral:rRNA from 1 species